UUGGUUGCCUCCCGCACACCAAGGUGCAUGCCCUUGGCAGGAAUUGAACCCGGGACCAUUUGGUCAGCAGGCCAACACUCUGUCCACUGAGCCAAACCGGCCAGGGCUCAGUUUGAACUUGUAAAUUACAGAGGAGUCCCUGCCCCACCAGGCCUGUUUGGCUUUUCCCGACCUGAGUCUUUUGAAGAUGGGACUCUAGUUGGCUUGGAGAAUGGCUCCUGUGCUAGACGUUGCCUCGCGGUUACAUUCAGGGCCCCAUGGAAACGCUUCCUAUGCACGUGCUUACUUUAUAAACAAACAAACAAACAAACAAACGGAGCUGGCACUUGUUUCCGCUUUUUAAAAAGAGGCCACUUUCUCUCUCAGGCGGAGUUUGCUGCCUUCCCCAUGAGUGGGUCAGCCCGUGCUUUCUACGUGUCCCUGACACACGCCACUCCAGGAAGCGGUUCGACACCUUUCCCGGGGGGCAGACAUCUUCACAGCUCUUCACUGCAAUUCGCUCCCCGGGGGAUCUGGUUCGCUCAUCUGCCCGAGACGUUCUGCUAGCGCACAUCCGUGUCGGUGUCUGACCACGAACGCGAUGGCUCCCGCGCAGACCCGGGAAGCCGCACAGAACGGAACGGAUGCUCCUGCGCGAUGACCGGGCGCAGAGCGCUGGGGGUCGGGGUGCUGGCCCGUCUGCCACGACCCCGUGACCCUGAGCAAGCCCUGGGCCCCUCGGCCUCUCGGGCUCCAGGGUUCUUAUCUGUCAGAAGACGGGGUAGAACAAGCUGAGGAUGAAAACCCUCUGAGACGCGUCUAACUGAAACGCAGAAGAAGCCUCGAAGCAUUGUCACGACGUGGAGGCGCUCCACCAAGGUUUAACAGCGGCAUGGCGAAGGGCUGGGACGUGCAGCCCUGGGGCACCAUGGCUUCUGGUGCCAGAGCGUUCUGAGUCUGCGAAUAAUUAUCUGGUUUAACUGAUGGAUACCCUGAAGACCCUGAAAUCUCUAGAUCCUCAGAGCCACGGGAGCCUGGAGAGAAGAGAAGAGGGUGAAAUGAGGAGUCAACCAGUUCCUGGGCCAGACCUUGGGGUGGGAGGAGGGGAGAGGGGGAGAGAGAGGGAGGGAGAGAGGGAGAGCCAGAGAGUGGCCCUCAAGGCAAUGCCCAUGGAUUUUGGGAGUCUUCAGAGACACAUCAAUCAAUCACAAUGAAUGGGGCCUUUUGGAUCCUGUUUCUAACCUGUUUUAAAAAAAUUAUAGAACAAUCGAGGAAAUGGAACAUUGACUGGAUUCUGGUGAAAUUAAAGAAUUAUUCUCAUGCUA